rnacentral:rRNA from 1 species
CCUACGGGUGGCAGCAGUGAGGAAUAUUGGUCAAUGGACGAAAGUCUGAACCAGCCAAGUAGCGUGCAGGAUGACUGCCCUAUGGGUUGUAAACUUCUUUUAUAUGGGAAUAAAAUGUUCCACGUGUGGGAGUUUGUAGGUACCAUACGAAUAAGGAUCGGCUAAUUCCGUGCCAGCAGCCGCGGUAAUACGGAGGAUCCGAGCGUUAUCCGGAUUUAUUGGGGUUAAAGGGAGCGUAGGUGGAUUGUUAAGGCAGUUGUGAAAGUUUGCGGCUCAACCGUAAAAUUGCAGUUGAAACUGGAAGUCUUGAGUACAGUAGAGGUGGGCGGAAUUCGUGGUGUAGCGGUGAAAUGCAUAGAUAUCACGCAGAACUCCGAUUGCGAAGGCAGCAUACCGGCGCUCAACUGACGCUCAUGCUCGAAAGCGUGGGUAUCGAACAGGAUUAGAUACCCGUGUAGUC